rnacentral:rRNA from 1 species
AAACCGUUGAAAGGGAAGCGAAUGGAGUUAGCAAUUCGCCUCGCCAGAUUCAGUCUUUUGCGCUCCGUGACGUGCGCGCACUCGAUCUUCGUAGACGAGUCGAGUACGGAUGCGGGACGUAGGCGGCGCACUUCUGGUAGGUGAGCGUCAACGUCGGUUACCCUGCGAGCCAGAAGGCCGUGAGGAAGGUAGAUCUUUCGGGAUUGUUAAGCCUUGCGAUCGCAUGUCUCGUGGGUGACUGUGGCCUGUCGCAGCGCGUGCCUCCCUUUUGGGUGGGCUGGUGUCCUGUUUUGUUGGUCCGGUUGUCGACUGUGGCGGACGGCACGCCUGUGCGCUCGAACCGCUGCCGGUCAACAGGGCGGUGAUCGCACACUACGCGCUGAGGACGUUGGCGUCCAUACGGCUCUAUCCGACCCGUCUUGAAACACGGACCAAGGAGUCUAACAUGUGCGCGAGUCUCUGGGUGAUCGAAACCCGUGGGCGCAAUGAAAGUAAAGGCAGCUUUGGCUGCUGAGGUGAGAAGCCCUUCCUUCUUGGAGAGGCCGCAUCAUCGACCGACCUAUUCUACUCUUAGAAAGGUUUGAGUAAGAGCGUACCUGUUGGGACCCGAAAGAUGGUGAACUAUGCCUGAAUAGGGUGAAGCCAGCGGAAACACUGGUGGAAGCUCGUAGCGAUUCUGACGUGCAAAUCGAUCGUCGAAUUUGGGUAUAGCGGCGAAAGACUAAUCGAACCAUCUAGUAGCUGGUUCCCUCCGAAGUUUCCCUUAGGAUAGCUGGAGCUCGGAUGCAGU